rnacentral:tRNA from 1 species
GGUGGCUCAGUGGUAGAGUGCUUGCUUUGCAUGCAUGAAGCCCUGGGUUCGAUUCCUUAGCACCA